AAUAGGGUUGGGUCACUCAAAUGAUGCAGUUCCCCUUUGGGCCAGUCAUAAAGUCGAUGAACAAGACACUUCCCCACCAACUUCUGUGGCUGACUUCUGAUGUCCGUUUGGAGGGAGACAAGAGAGAAGAUCAUUUUCCUACAAGGAUCAAUAAAGUAUUGCAAAAUCA